AAAAUACGACUGUCGGCAACGGAUAUCUCGGCUCUCGCAUCGAUGAAGAACGUAGCGAAAUGCGAUACUUGGUGUGAAUUGCAGAAUCCCGUGAACCAUCGAGUCUUUGAACGCAAGUUGCGCCCGAAGCCGUCAGGCCGAGGGCACGUCUGCCUGGGCGUCACG
rnacentral:rRNA from 1 species